AAGUCGUAACAAGGUCUCCGUAGGUGAACCUGCGGAGGGAUCAUUACAGAGCUCAUGCCCUAACGGGUAGAUCUCCCACCCUAUGUUAUUAUUACUUUGUUGCUUUGGCGGGCCGUCAGGCUCACGCUUGACUACCGGCUCCGGCUGGUAAGCGCCCGCCAGAGGACCACAAACCCUGAAUAUUAGUGUCGUCUGAGUACUAGAUAAUAGUUAAAA
rnacentral:misc_RNA from 1 species